CUACACAAAGAAACCCUGUCUCUCCAUAACAUGCUGCAUUGAUCAAGGAGUUCUCAGGGCUACCAACCUUACAGUAGAGGUUGAGUAGUAGUAUAUUUCUCCUACAUUA